rnacentral:rRNA from 1 species
CCCUAAAACCCAGCGCAACCACCUAAAACUCAUAACCAAACCAUUUAUGACAAAAUAAAACAUUUUAAACACCAAGUAAAGGCGAUUAAAAAGUGUCCAAGAGCCUUAGAAAUAGUACCGCAAGGGAACGAUGAAAUAGAAAUUAAAUAAUUUUAAAGCACCAAUAAAGCAGAGCUUAAGCCUCGUACCUUUUGCAUCAUGGUCUAGCCAGUCUAAUCAAGCAAAAAGAAAUUUAAGUUUGACUUCCCGAAACUAAGUGAGCUACUUCAAAACAGCCUAAAGGGCCAACCCGUCUCUGUUGCAAAAGAGUGGGAAGAUUUUCAAGUAGGGGUGACAGACCUACCGAACUUAGAGAUAGCUGGUUAUUCAGGAAAAGGAUCUUAGUCCUACCUUAAGCCCCUCCCCCCAAAAACCUUUUUCUCCAAUGGGCUUAAGAGCUAUUCAAAUAAGGUACAGCCUAUUUGAAACAGGAUACAACCUCAACAACAGGGUAAUGAACUUUCGACACACGACCAAGUGGGCCUAAAAGCAGCCACCNAAAAAGCGUUACAGCUUAACCGUUAACUGUUACAAAUUCCCCUAACGCAUCAAAACCCAACCCCACAACUGAAUGAUUCUAUAACACACAUAGAAAACUGUAUGCUAGAACUAGUAAUAAGAAGAAGACCUUCUCCAAAAUAUACGUGUGAGCCAGAACGAACACCCCCCGGCAUAUAACGCAACUGAACCAAUAGUAGCAACUACACAAGAAAACCCUACCAAAACACGCGUCAACCUUACACCAGCAUAUUCCAGGAAAGAUUAAAAGAAGGGGAAGGAACUCGGCAAAUCNUNAACCCCGCCUGUUUACCAAAAACAUCGCCUUUUGAAAAAAUAUAAAAGGUCCAGCCUGCCCAGUGACCAGAUUAAACGGCCGCGGUACCCUAACCGUGCAAAGGUAGCACAAUCACUUGUUCUUUAAAUAAGGACUAGUAUGAAUGGCAUCACGAGGGUUAAACUGUCUCCCCCUUCCAAUCAAUGAAACUGACCCCCCCGUGAAGAGGCGGGGAUAAUAAUAUAAGACGAGAAGACCCCAUGGAGCUUAAAACUUAACACCAACUGCCUAACUACACCCCCACUUCAAACCGGGCAGACUCUGGUUUCUAGUUUUCGGUUGGGGCGACCGCGGAGUAAAACAAAACCUCCACGAUGAAUGUACCAACUUUCCUAAUCACAGAGCAACAGCUCGAAGAAUCAAAAAAUUGACACACUUGACCCAAUUAAUUUUGAUCAACGAACCAAGUUACCCUGGGGAUAACAGCGCAAUCCACUUCAAGAGCCCCUAUCGACAAGUGGGUUUACGACCUCGAUGUUGGAUCAGGGUAUCCCAGUGGUGCAACCGCUACUAACGGUUCGUUUGUUCAACGAUUAAAACCCCACGUGAUCUGAGUUCAGACCGGAG